CAUGAGAUCCGCCGUUUUCUGAUUUAAGAAGCUCCAGUCGCCUUCUUCAGCUGCUACACCAAAAGAGAGCCAAUGUCCAACAUCACCCUUAAACACGCCAAAAAACACACAGAAUGUAAAAGGAAAGGAAAACUCUUUCUUGCCUCCUAGCUUCUAGAUUAUCAGAAUUUUCAACACUUCGCCAAAUCCAUGGAAACGCAGUUUUGAAACUCUGCAAACCCAAUUAAUCUUCCCCAAAAUUUAGCUUCAUAAAGCCCCUGUUUUCCACUGCGAAAACCAGCAGAAAUUUCAGUUAUUGAAACAACCUUCAAACUCCAUCAAAAGCCAUGGAAAUCAGCCCCAAAACAACCCGAAAAACUGCCCAUAGUUAAACCCAGUAAGAUUCGACUUUAUCACCUCAUUCUUGUCGAGUUUUCGUCGACGAAGCUGAGAGUUCCAAUUUUGGUUCGUGUAUGUAGCGUCACUGUUUAACUUGAAAGAGCUGUAGAUUUGAGAUUUUUCUUCACUUACCAUAUGUGUCUGGGGAGCCCAAUAUAUCCUACAUCUGAUCCCGCGUGCUAUUAUAGGGCACAUGAAUUCAUCUUUACGGCUGCAUAAUACACAAAUGCAAUUCAUACGUGGUCAGCUGGUUGCAUUUUCACUGAGAUCUCCAGCCAUUCAAUUUACCCCUAUAAAUACAAGAAAGACAACGUACAAGGAAGAUGAGAGGCAGAUUCAAAAUAACACAAAACAUAACUUCAUGAAGAGGUGCAGUUUUUAAGCAUCAGGUAGGAUUUCUAUAAUGGAUAAACAGAUUAUAGAUCAACGACAUCAAACUUCCUUGAAUAAUGUCAAGAUGUGAAAAAACAACCUGAAAGUUCCUUGGAUGAGAUGUACACAAGAAUCACACAAAUGCGAAAAGAAUAUUUGAAGUAUGAACAAGAACAACUUAGAAGCGAAUUAUAUAAAGGAGUAUUACCGGAUACAACAUGCAAAGAAUGACUAUUUAUUCGAAUAUUAUGUUAUUGCAUUUACAAAAUUUAAGUUUACAUUAUUACAAAUAAAUGUUAUUUACAUACCA